UUAAUUCUUCGGUUUUCCCAUUUCUCAGCCUUCGAGGACUUUCUCAACCGCUUUGAACUACCACCUUGACUCACCGGACAACAACCCUAACCUCCCAUGGGAAUUCUCUGAUGCCAACCAAGCAAAGGUCAAGGAGAUUUUAUCGCACUAUCCAUCCAACUAUAAGCAAUCUACAGUGAUCCCUCUUUUGGAUCUUACCCAGCAGCAGCAUGGAGGGUGGCUCCCUAUUUCUGCAAUGAAUGUGGUAUCUUUGCAUUCUGCC